CCUGGAGUGCAAGUUUGGCGCCGAGCCGAGCGAGGUAGGCAGGGACGUGAUGAUUGGUUCUCAGGCCAUCGCCAAGAGGGACAGUGUCAGAUAUCUCCGGGAGUUACUAAUGCUCUAUUGUUUUUGUUUUUGUCUUUGUUUUUGUUUUACUGUUGUUUUUACUUUCAUCCUAUGAGCCGAGGGUCGCUUGGAAACAGCCUCUCUGCCCUUUCGGGUAAGGGUAAGGCUCGUCUACAGAUUACUCUCCCCAGACCCCACCUGGUGGGAG
rnacentral:lncRNA from 1 species